rnacentral:rRNA from 1 species
GAUGAACGCUGGCGGCGUGCCUAAUACAUGCAAGUCGAGCGAACAGACGAGGAGCUUGCUCCUCUGACGUUAGCGGCGGACGGGUGAGUAACACGUGGAUAACCUACCUAUAAGACUGGGAUAACUUCGGGAAACCGGAGCUAAUACCGGAUAAUAUAUUGAACCGCAUGGUUCAAUAGUGAAAGACGGUUUUGCUGUCACUGAUAGAUGGAUCCGCGCCGCAUUAGCUAGUUGGUAAGGUAACGGCUUACCAAGGCAACGAUGCGUAGCCGACCUGAGAGGGUGAUCGGCCACACUGGAACUGAGACACGGUCCAGACUCCUACGGGAGGCAGCAGUAGGGAAUCUUCCGCAAUGGGCGAAAGCCUGACGGAGCAACGCCGCGUGAGUGAUGAAGGUCUUCGGAUCGUAAAACUCUGUUAUUAGGGAAUAACAAAUGUGUAAGUAACUAUGCACGUCUUGACGGUACCUAAUCAGAAAGCCACGGCUAACUACGUG